rnacentral:lncRNA from 1 species
GGAGAUCAUGGGUCCAUGUAGUAUUUUCAUCUUAAAUCGUCAAUACAACAACAAUAUAACCAUAAAGUGCCAUUAGAAACCUUUUAAAACCAUUUGGUGGAAGAACCCAUGAGAUUGAGUGAAAACCUAGAUUUUUCAUACUUUGAAAUAACUUUGGAUUUGGCUCCUUGAAUGGAAAUUUAGACAAGGAUCAAGACCACCAUACCUUUGUUAUGAUCUCCCACGAAAUUUGAUGAAGAAAGCCUUGAAUCCAAAGCCCUAGCUCCCACUUCUUCUUCUUCUUAAUGGAGGAUUGUAGAGAGGGAAAUGUUUUUGGGGAUGGGAAUUGAACUAAUGGUAUCUAGGAAAUAAUAUAUGUCCUUUGGAAGAAUGGUC